rnacentral:rRNA from 1 species
GUUGUCCGGAAUUAUUGGGCGUAAAGAGCUCGUAGGCGGUUUGUCGCGUCUGCUGUGAAAACCCGAGGCUCAACCUCGGGCCUGCAGUGGGUACGGGCAGACUAGAGUGCGGUAGGGGGAGAUUGGAAUUCCUGGUGUAGCGGUGGAAUGCGCAGAUAUCAGGAGGAACACCGGUGGCGAAGGCGGGUCUCUGGGCCGAUACUGACGCUGAGGAGCGAAAGCGUGGGGAGCGAACAGG